GCGCUGGUAGGAAGUGAACUGCAGUUGGGUUGGCAUCAGAUGGACUGACGAUAAUUUUUAUGAGAAGCUUCUAGUAUCUGGUCUCAAAGUGGAUGGGCUAGAAUGAGAAUCUUGUUUCCAACCUUUUCCAGUGGAUUGCCUACUGCCUACAUCGAGUUUUUUGAUGCCCAAGCUUUCAACAAA